rnacentral:rRNA from 1 species
AUUGAACGCUGGCGGCAUGCCUAACACAUGCAAGUCGAACGGGGCAGCAAUGCCUAGUGGCGGACGGGUGAGGAAUACGUAGGAAUCUGCCCUUAAGUGGGGGAUAACCAGGGGAAACCCUGACUAAUACCGCAUGAUCUCUUCGGAGCAAAGGGGGGGACCGCAAGGCCUCUCGCUUCUGGCUGAGACUACGUCUGAUUAGCGAGUUGGUAGGGUACAGACCUACCAAGGCGACGAUCAGUAACUUGUCUGAGAAGAUGAUCAGUCAAACCAGAACUGAGACACGGUCCGGACUCCUACGGGAGGCAGCAGUGGGGAAUAUUGGACAAUGGGCGCAAGCCUGAUCCAGCAAUGCCGCGUGUGUGAAGAAGGCCUUCGGGUUGUAAAGCACUUUAGCCUGGAAAGAAAAAACUUUGGUUAACACCCAAAGUCUUGACGGUACCAGGAGAAUAAGCACCGGCUAACUCUGUGCCAGCAGCCGCCGUAAUAC